rnacentral:rRNA from 1 species
AUACAGAGGGUGCAAGCGUUGUUCGGAAUUACUGGGCGUAAAGCGCGCGCAGGCGGGAUGGCAAGUCGGAUGUGAAAGCCCUCGGCUCAACCGAGGAAGUGCAUUCGAAACUGCCGUUCUUGAGUGUCGGAGAGGGUGGUGGAAUUCCCGGUGUAGAGGUGAAAUUCGUAGAUAUCGGGAGGAACACCAGUGGCGAAGGCGACCACCUGGACGAACACUGACGCUGAGGCGCGAAAGCGUGGGGAGCAAACAGGAUUAGAUAGCCUGGUAGUCCACGCCGUAAACGAUGAGUGCUAGCUGUUGCGGGAGUUGACCCCUGCAGUGGCGAAGCCAACGCAUUAAGCACUCCGCCUGGGGAGUACGGCCGCAAGGCUAAA